UGUAGUCGAGGGGUAUAGUUCUUCGGAACUAGAGACCGGCGCACGGGUGCGUAACGCGUAUGCAAUCUACCUUUUACAGAGGGAUAGCCCAGAGAAAUUUGGAUUAAUACCUCAUAGUAUAUAGCCCUGGCAUCAGGAUUAUAUUAAAGUCACAACGGUAAAAGAUGAGCAUGCGUCCCAUUAGCUAGUUGGUAAGGUAACGGCUUACCAAGGCUACGAUGGGUAGGGGUCCUGAGAGGGAGAUCCCCCACACUGGUACUGAGACACGGACCAGACUCCUACGGGAGGCAGCAGUGAGGAAUAUUGGACAAUGGGCGCAAGCCUGAUCCAGCCAUGCCGCGUGCAGGAUGACGGUCCUAUGGAUUGUAAACUGCUUUUAUACGAGAAGAAACACUCCUUCGUGAAGGAGCUUGACGGUAUCGUAAGAAUAAGGAUCGGCUAACUCCGUGCCAGCAGCCGCGGUAAUACGGAGGAUCCAAGCGUUAUCCGGAAUCAUUGGGUUUAAAGGGUCCGUAGGCGGUUUAAUAAGUCAGUGGUGAAAGCCCAUCGCUCAACGGUGGAACGGCCAUUGAUACUGUUAGACUUGAAUUAUUAGGAAGUAACUAGAAUAUGUAGUGUAGCGGUGAAAUGCUUAGAGAUUACAUGGAAUACCAAUUGCGAAGGCAGGUUACUACUAAUUGAUUGACGCUGAUGGACGAAAGCGUGGGUAGCGAACAGGAUUAGAUACCCUGGUAGUCCACGCCGUAAACGAUGGAUACUAGCUGUUGGAAGCAAUUUCAGUGGCUAAGCGAAAGUGAUAAGUAUCCCACCUGGGGAGUACGUUCGCAAGAAUGAAACUCAAAGGAAUUGACGGGGGCCCGCACAAGCGGUGGA
rnacentral:rRNA from 1 species